rnacentral:antisense_RNA from 1 species
AUGUCGAUGGGUGUAAUAUUAAUGGAUCAUUUGUUUCUUU